rnacentral:rRNA from 1 species
UACGUAGGGUGCAAGCGUUGUCCGGAAUUAUUGGGCGUAAAGAGCUCGUAGGCGGUUUUUCGCGUCUGGUGUGAAAAUCCAGGGCUUAACUCUGGACCUGCAUCGGGUACGGGCAGACUAGAGUGCGGUAGGGGAGAUCGGAAUUCCUGGUGUAGCGGUGAAAUGCGCAGAUAUCAGGAGGAACACCGGUGGCGAAGGCGGAUCUCUGGGCCGUAACUGACGCUGAGGAGCGAAAGCAUGGGGAGCGAACAGG